CGUAGGGUGGCAAAUAUCCAAAAUCAAAAAAACUUAUCCAAUUACCCAAAAUCAAAAUAUUUUGAAAAAUCAAAAGAAAAUCCUGAUUAACAGUUAGGAGAAAUAAUAAAUAAUAAAGCCCACCAACAAGUUGGGUUGGUUUAAAUAAAUGGAAUGUUUUAGCACAAAAAGCGAGAAGAAUAGAGGAGGGAAGAAAGGAUGUAGGAGUAGCAAGUGCCAAAGCACUUGGACAAAUAAAAUGGAAUUUUAAAAUAUUUUCAAAAGAGCUACAUUUGAUUUCGUACCAGAAAGAGAUGUGCCGGGAAGGAGAAAGAUUUUGCUGCUCAGUAGCCGCUGGCUUUAACUUCGAUGAUCUGGACAAUCAUCAGGAAUGGUUUCUUUUUUCAAGAAAGGCCAGUUUCAGUGAAACAGCUCCCCCCCCCCCAUGCGUUCCCUUUUCCUUCUCAGAACAGUUCAGCGCCAAGAAAUGGGCGGUGCCUGCAUGCCAGGCUUCAUCCGAAUGAGACGCCAAGGCCGACAAGAGGCUGGCAUAAAGAGAAGCUGGCACAAAUUCCUCCACUUAGAACUCCACUUCAAUAUACCCUUCAAAUAGUCUCCCUUUAUUAGCAAACUGAAAAAAACAAAAAACAAAAUCCAUGGAACCCUCCCACCCCAAGCAAAUAUCUCUAAAGUUUCUCAGUCUCUAUUGAGAACCAUUUCCAAAGGGCAAUUUCCAACCAAUACCUAUUCUUUCAACCCAUGCCAGUUAAAACAAGCAGCUCAUUCUCUCUUCUCUCUGGGUUAGCAGCCCAAGGUAUGUACAUAAAAUAAAUGUUGACUUCUACUUCCCUAACUUGAGAUGUUGAAGGCAGCAAGCUCCUUUAAAACACAGCUAAAGAUGAAAGACAAAAUGAAACAAAAAGAAAACAAACACAAAACAACCCUCUCAAGUUAUACAAGAAGCAGUUUCAUUUUGCGAAAUGUUUCUUCUGUCGGUGGCAAAAAUGGAGUUAAGAGACAUAAAUGGAGAUGAGGAUGGUUUAAAAACAAAUCAAAGCAAGCAAACAAACUACCGGGAUAUGCCAGAAGAGGACACCCUCCCUCCAGCUCCCAUUUUCCAUUUUUUCUGUGCCAGCCUUAGACAGAGAGAUAGAGAGAAAAGGGGGAAAAAAGGAAAGAAAGCAAGCGAGCGAGCGAAAGGGGCAGUGAAUAGCUGCUCGUUCAGAAAUGGGCCUACAGCCAUUUCCACUUUGGAAGCCUCAGCAGUCGUUCUCUCUCUCUCGCUCGCUCUCCCUGCAUUCUCCCUGCCCACUCUGGCUUAGCUGCCAAGUCAGAGUUGGCACUGCUUCCCAGGCAGCACGGAACAAAGCCAUUUCCCAUCCCUGUACAGGCAACUGUCAAUAAGCAAAGUGACAGUCACAUCUCCUGCAUGUUAAUCCUAAUGGACAGGAGAUGUUUGCAAGAGAAUAAAAAGCCCCUUCGCCCCUCCAAAGCCGUACAAUAAAAUCAUUUAAAAAAUAAAUAAAGGAAAAAGCCUUCUUCGUCGACCCUAUUUGGAAGGAUCAUUUAAAAAUACAGCUGUCUGCAAUAAGGAUUGGAGAGGGAACGAAGGGGGGGGGAGAUGAGGGUUUACCCACUAACACCCUGGCAAACAAGGCUGCUUUGCAUCUGUUGUACCUGUUCCUGUUGCCUUCCUUGCCUCUUGGAAUCGUGACAAGAGAGAAAAGUCGCCUCUGGUGGGUUGCUCAAAGCUGCGGGUCUGCAGCCCUGUGCAGGAAGUUGGCACCGAUCCCAGGCAGCGCAAAAGGCACCUCCAGAUUGCAGUGACGUCAUUUUCCCCUCUCUCUUCCAAGUUUCACAAAGGCUUGGAUGGAAGCAUACAUGUUGAUGUUUAUUUAUCUUCACAACCAUCACACACAUAUGAGGUGGAUUGGACUGAGGAUGUAUGACUGCUUCAAAAUGCAUUUUCAUGGCUGAGGGAAAAGACCACAAAAUGAAUGUUUAAAUGGAGAUGGGACUUGACAAGAGCAGAUUCCAUAACUCACCAUGAAGUGGAUGAGAAAUAAUUCGGGAUACACAUU